rnacentral:tRNA from 1 species
UCCCCUAUAGCUCAGUUGGUAGAGCGUUCGGCUUUUAGUUAACCGAAAUGUCCAGGGUUCGAGCCCCUGUGGGGGAG